rnacentral:rRNA from 1 species
UUGGGUUUAAGGGUCCGUAGGCGGAUGAUUAAGUCAGGGGUGAAAGUUUGCAGCUCAACUGUAAAAUUGCCUUUGAUACUGGUUAUCUUGAGUUGUAUUGAAGUAGGCGGAAUAUGUAGUGUAGCGGUGAAAUGCAUAGAUAUUACAUAGAACACCAAUUGCGAAGGCAGCUUACUAAGUACUAACUGACGCUGAUGGACGAAAGCGUGGGUAGCGAACAGGAUUAGAUACCCUGGUAGUCCACGCCGUAAACGAUGGAUACUAGCUGUUCGGGGCCUUGAGUUCUGAGCGGCUAAGCGAAAGUGAUAAGUAUCCCACCUGGGGAGUACGUUCGCAAGAAUGAAACUCAAAGGAAUUGACGGGGGCCCGCACAAGCGGUGGAGCAUGUGGUUUAAUUCGAUGAUACGCGAGGAACCUUACCAGGGCUUAAAUGUAGUCUGACAGCUUUAGAGAUAGAGUUUUCUUCGGACAGAUUACAAGGUGCUGCAUGGUUGUCGUCAGCUCGUGCCGUGAGGUGUCAGGUUAAGUCCUAUAACGAGCGCAACCCCUGUCGUUAGUUGCCAGCAUGUCAUGAUGGGGGACUCUAACCGAGACUGCCCGGUGCAAACCGCGAGGGAAGGUGGGGGAUGACCGUCAAAUCAUCACGGCCCUUACGUCCCUGGGGCCACACACGUGCUACAAUGGGCCGGUACAGAGAGCAGCCACCGUCGCAAGGGCGGA